rnacentral:rRNA from 1 species
ACGAACGCUGGCGGCGUGCUUAACACAUGCAAGUCGAACGGAAAGGCCCUGCUUGCAGGGUGCUCGAGUGGCGAACGGGUGAGUAACACGUGGGUGAUCUGCCCCUUACUUUGGGAUAAGCCUGGGAAACUGGGUCUAAUACUGGAUAGGACCAUGCUGUAGGUGGUGUGGUGGAAAGAUUAGUUUCGGUAAGGGAUGAGCUCGCGGCCUAUCAGCUUGUUGGUGGGGUAAUGGCCUACCAAGGCGUCGACGGGUAGCCGGCCUGGGAGGGUGGACGGCAACAUUGGGACUGAGAUACGGCCCAGACUCCUACGGGAGGCAGCAGUGGGGAAUAUUGCACAAUGGGCGCAAGCCUGAUGCAGCGACGCCGCGUGGGGGAUGACGGCCUUCGGGCUGUAAACUCCUUUCAGCCAUGACGAAGCCCUUGUGGUGACGGUAGUGGUAGAAGAAGCACCGGCUAACUACGUG